GACACGGAAACCUCACUGCGAGGGCACAGCGAGGGCACAUCAAGGCCACAUCGAAGGCACAGUGAGGGCACAGAGGGCACAGCGAGGGCACAUCGAGGGCACAGCGAGGGCACAUCGAGGGCACAGCGAGGGCACAGCGAGGGCACAUCGAGGGCACAGCGAGGGCACAGCGAGGGCACAUCGAGGGCACAGCGAGGGCACAUCGAGGGCACAGCGAGGGCACUGCGAGGGCACAGCGAGGGCACAUCAAGGCCACAUCGAAGGCACAGUGAGGGCACAGAGGGCACAGCGAGGGCACAUCGAGGGCACAGCGAGGGCACAUCGAGGGCACAGCGAGGGCACAUCGAGGGCACAGCGAGGGCACAGCGAGGGCACAGCGAGGGCACAGCGAGGGCACAUCGAGGGCACAGCGAGGGCACAGCGAGGGCACAUCGAGGGCACAGCGAGGGCACAUCGAGGGCACAGCGAGGGCACAGCGAGGGCACAGCGAGGGCACAGCGAGGGCACAGCGAGGGCACAUCGAGGGCACAGCGAGGGCACAUCGAGGGCACAGCGAGGGCACUGCGAGGGCACAGCGAGGGCACAUCAAGGCCACAUCGAAGGCACAGUGAGGGCACAGCGAGGGCACAGCGAGGGCACAGCGAGGGCACUGCGAGGGCACAGCGAGGGCACAGCGAGGGCACAGCGAGGGCACUGCGAGGGCACAGCGAGGGCACAGCGAGGGCACAGCGAGGGCACUGCGAGGGCACAGCGAGGGCACAGCGAGGGCACAGCGAGGGCACUGCGAGGGCACAGCGAGGGCACUGCGAGGGCACAGCGAGGGCACAUCAAGGCCACAUCGAAGGCACAGCGAGGGCACAGCGAGGGCACAGCGAGGGCACAGCGAGGGCACAGCGAGGGCACAGCGAGGGCACGUCGUUGAACGCAAACAAUCACCGACGGCUGUGUUCCGUGUGGCUCAGUUGGUAUGAACGUGGCAUGGCAGUGUUGCUACCAAUGAGAGAGACACACUGUUGUGGGUUCAAUUCCCGCAGCCAUCCUAUAGACGUACUAAAACCGCUCACUGUCGCAGAACAGACUAAUAAACAUGUAGGCUUUAAAAAAUAA
rnacentral:lncRNA from 1 species